rnacentral:lncRNA from 10 species
AAUUACAGGUGCAAGCCACCUCGGCUGGACUUUAAUUUGUUUUAAUUCCUCUUGCCCUAACUCUACUUCAUGUCACUUUUUUUCUAUUCACUCUUUUUAAAUUUCUUGGUAACAGAAUUCCAGAUGUGAGAAACAUCAUUUGGGGCCACAUAACAAUUAUAGGUCUCCCCUGGUAUCAGGUGUUGAGCUUUGAUAUGAGAUGUGGCCAAGGGAUCACAAGUUACAAAACAUGACUGCUGAUCCCUCAGUAGAAUUCUGAGCUGUAGUUUUCCUUACAAAGUAUAAUAAUGAAAUAAAAAUCAUGAAGUCCCUAGCACAUUUUUUUUUGCCUAGUUAAAUAUUUUCUUAAUUGUCUUUCUUAUGCAAUUUGAUACAUGGUCACUUUAAAGUUCAUUUAUACAGAUAUAUGAGUUUGAAUCAAUGCUUUUCUUAACUUUGAAUCUCUUAAUGGCUCUUCCUCUUUCUUUUUACUGAUAAUUACUUUAGCUAGAGUUGGAUGAUGCAUUAUUUCUUAAUAUUUUGUUAGUGCUAUUUUUCUUUCCUGCUUUUGGUUACAUGAUUGACUACACACUAGGGAGUUUUCACUAAAUUUACUCAUUAAAUAUUUUUUAAUUGGUUUAUUGCUUUGCUAAUUUGUAGAAGGCGCAUGCAAAUUAUCUACAAACAUCGCAUUCUCUUUCUUCACAU